rnacentral:rRNA from 1 species
AUUGAACGCUGGCGGCAGGCCUAACACAUGCAAGUCGAGCGGAUGAAGGGAGCUUGCUCCUGGAUUCAGCGGCGGACGGGUGAGUAAUGCCUAGGAAUCUGCCUGGUCGUGGGGGAUAACGUCCGGAAACGGGCGCUAAUACCGCAUACGUCCUGAGGGAGAAAGUGGGGGAUCUUCGGACCUCACGCUAUAAGAUGAGCCUAGGUCGGAUUAGCUAGUUGGUGGGGUAAAGGCCUACCAAGGCGACGAUCCGUAACUGGUCUGAGAGGAUGAUCCGUCACACUGGAACUGAGACACGGUCCAGACUCCUACGGGAGGCAGCAGUGGGGAAUAUUGGACAAUGGGCGAAAGCCUGAUCCAGCCAUGCCGCGUGUGUGAAGAAGGUCUUCGGAUUGUAAAGCACUUUAAGUUGGGAGGAAGGGCAGUAAGUUAAUACCUUGCUGUUUUGACGUUACCAACAGAAUAAGCACCGGCUAACUUCGUG